GCGAGCCUCUCUCCCUCUCAACCGCAAGCUUUAGAUUCAUAUAUCUGUAUCAGUCGUUCUCAACCCUCCUAAUGCUGUGACCCUUUUAUAUAGCUCCUCAUGUUGUGGUGACCCCCAACCACAAAAUUGUCUUUGCUGCUACUUAAUAACUGUAACUUUGCUGUUAUGAAUCAUAAUGUAAAUAUCUGUGUUUUCCCAUGAUUCUAGUCAACCCCUGAAAAGGGAUUAUUUGUGAAUCAGGGGAGAAUUACUGAACUACAUGAUAUAUUCACAUCUUAUAUGUAACAGAGUAAAAUAAGAUUUUUUAAACACCUAUUCAAGCCUAUAUCUCCCUCAGCCUUCCCAUCUCAAAGAUAUGGGCACCACCCACUCACUCAGGAACUCCAACCUCUAGGAGUCAACAGUGUGUGUUCAUGCAUACAUGCAUGCAGCAUGUGUACUUGUAUGUAUUCCUGUGUGUACAAGUACACACGUAUAUGUGUGCCUGUAAAUAUAAAAUCCAGGAGCCAGCCCAACCUCACAUGUUGUUUCUCAAAUAUCCACUUAUUUUUGAAACUGUCUCUUCCUGGGAAGUGGGGCUUGCAGCUUAGGCAGGAUGACCCGCAGCAGGCCCCAGAUUCUCCUGUCUCCACCUCCCCAGUGACAGCUAGGAUUACAAGUGCACGUUACCACACCUGGGUUUUUAGGAGAUCUAACGUGAGUCCUCGUGCUUGCAUGACAAGCGCUUUAUGGACUGUGCAUCUCCCCAGUCCCCUAGGAGUCAUCUUUGUUCUUUCUCUCGGGCAGCAUCCAAAGCACAGCCUGAAUCCGACUACCUUUCUCCAUCUCUGUGCUUCACCCUCCACUAACAGUCUGCUCUGGACCACAGCCACAGCCUCCUGCUGUCCACCAAACCCCAUUCUCCCUAACGGAAGAAUACCCAAAGCAUACCAAGUCACUUUAAACCGUCUGCAUCCUCCCUGGUCUCCGAACAGAGUUCAGGAGCUCUUUACCCUGGUCCAAUUUCAGCAUUUACCUCCCUUCCUGUGACUCCCGUUAAUGCCAUUCUCUCCCUAGAUCACCAUCUUCAAGCCACUCAUUGAACUGGAAGGGGUUUGUACCUUAAACAUUUUUUUCUGAAAUGUCUUGCCCCUACUGGCACCACAGCAGGGGUCCUUCUUGUCAUUCAAAUUCCAAAUGUCACCUGCUCAGAAAAAAGUCCUCAGGACCUACCAAUCCAACCAGCCAUCCAAUCACUCCAAGUCACAUCCCCUCGUGUUAAUUUUCCGCACAGCAGCCACCGUUACCUGCUAUUAUUAUUUGCUCACUCUUUGUUCCCUUUCCUCCCGCGGAUUACAUAUCGACGAAGAAGAACAGUGAGCACCUCCCUUCCACACACCUCAUCCAUCAGCAGUCACUAUUCAAGAGUCCCAAGUGAUAAAGGAGGCUCGGGACUUUCUCCACACCUUCUGAUCCAGAUCUAAACAUUGUCUCCAAGUUGGUGAAGAAAUUAAUUCUGAAUCACGGUCCCCCACAGUACACCGAGUGCCAGUCAAACCAUCGGCCGCCAGACCUUUGGCUAGUUCAUUCAUUCCAUAAACAAACAUUUACAGAGCUCCUACUCUAUGCCAGGCACUGACUGGGUCAAACGAUCAAAGGCAAGUUCUGACUCCCAGGACCCACAGAGGGGAGGAACGCUGCAACACAGGCACCUUCCCGGAGUGGGAAAAGGGAAGAUUGUACACGUGUCCCCUUACAGCUUCGAGAUCAGAUCCACGCAGCCCAACAGACCCAGAAUAACUGUUGGGACAGCGCCCAGAGAUUCAGGCGGCUAAGCUCCCGUUCUACUAGCCCAGGCAGAGCCGACCGUCCGCGUUCCACUGCGUUCGGCGCCCGCCGAAGACUCGCGGGUAGAGUUCCAAGAAUAUCAUUGGCUGACCGGGAGCCCCACCCCCAUCCCAUCCCUGAGAAGCAAGGAUGCAGCGGCCCGGGUCGCGCUCCAACUCUCCACCGCCAGCCCAGCCAGCGCGGCUACACUAGCGUCGGGGCCCCCUCCCCCCUCCCCCACGCCCAAGCCCUCAGGCCACACUCCUGACCCACCGGAGCCUUUCUCCCUGACACCGGCCACUGUGCCCAGCGCAUGUCCCCGGGGUAGGCGUGUCCCGGGAGCCGUGGAGUUUGCUGGCUCGGCCGCCGGCGGGCGGGACCUGGUCAGGCCCCCUGCGGCGCUGCGAACCCCGGUACGCAGCGGUCCCCCGAGCCCGCCACCUUCAGACAUACAAACCCCAAGCGCCGAGCCCGCCAAGGUUGCGGGAAAGCAAGCGAGGUGCGGCGGUGGUGCGGGCUCACUUACUCUAUGAAGAAACUGGCGCCCUCCUCCGUGAAGCCCUCCUCCCAGCCGCGCGGCAAGUCUGCGGGAAGGCGAGAAAAGUUGGUCAAACUUGCACAGCCGUGGCGCCCUCCCGCACCCUCUACCGACCGGGCGCUUACCUGAGCGGAUCAUGUGACCGGAGUUGACCGGUUCUCCCGUACGCGGGUGCAGCCAGGUCGUGCAGCGGAGCUGGUCACUACGGGAGAGGUGCACCUGUUAGCGCCGCCGCCCCACACGCCCGCCCGCGGACCCAGCCCCAGCACACGACCCCGCCCGGGUGCCGCCGCCUCUCACGCACUUGAUGAAGAAGACGCGGCCGUCCCGACAGACGCCGUAGGACCAGUGCUCAGUUGGACAAGAGAAGGAGCCUUGAUCUGCCCCCAAAAUACCAGGACCUGGGCACCCGAACAAUUCUACCUCAUCCUUUCAGCAACAUCUCAAUGGAAGAAUGGGAAACACUCCUCACUCUGCAAGUGGGUGGAGCCGGAGCCGGAGCCGGAAGCUAGGUGCUGGGCAAGGGUCAGGCCAGCCUUGCAGAGACACAGCUGCAGGUCUGAGGAGGCUCACUUGAGGGUGCAGCUGUCUGCACUGGGCACUAGAAUUAGAGAUCAGGAGUAGGAUGGACCCUGAAGGGGGCGCAGUGGAGCUCUGUCAGUGUUUCUUGACCUGUGGGUCUCCACCCCUCGGAGUAGCAUCUCAGAUUACGUUUCAUAACAAUAGCAGUGAAAUAAUUUUGUCGUUGAGGGUCACCACAACAUGACCGCUGCUCCAGAGGAACCUAUUAGGGGUGCAGGUGAACCUGUGGGAGGGGUGUGGAGUGCUAGGAAGACCAUGAAGCGAUCCUUCCUCUGAAGCAGUCAUUAGGGAGAGAGGUGCUGUGACUGGGAAUGUGGAGCCUUCAGCCUCUGAUCCAGUUCUUGACCAAAUGAACACAGGGAGAUAGCUUCUCUCUUUUUGUUGACAUUUAAAAAAAAUUGACAUUGUUUUAUUUUCCCUGUCAGGCAUGGGCUGUGUGUGUGGUGUGGUGGGCUCAGUACAGGGAUGGAUGGUGGAGGGGGUGGAGGAGAUGAUGACUUGGUUGGGAAGUCUGGAGGAAGGACUCAUGGCACACUAUAGCUAAGCUACCAGUAAGGUUGAGAAACUCUUGGAAAUCUAGCUGUCCAUCGCUGUUGAGGUCCUGCGUCUUCAUCAUGCAUUCAAGGACACCAGGGUCCUUCUGUUUCUUCCUGAAGGCGGCCAGCUCUGUGUUCAUGAAAGAAAGGAACUCAGUUUUGGAGAAUUGACAGCUAUUCCCAUCCUUCCCACUGUACUUCUGGAAAACAGCAAUCAGGGACUCCAUGCAUCUCUCAUGGAGGCUGGGACAGGAGUGGCCAGCAUCUCUUAUUAAACACUCAUUUGAAAACAAUAUAUUAAAUGGACAAGAAUAUGAAAACACAGUUAAUAGAAAUGAAACACAAGUGGCUUUUAAGUAAAUGGGAAGAUAAUUGACCAUUGCAUAACAUCAAGUAUACAAAUGAAAAUUACAGUGGGAUUCUAUUUUGUAGAUGUCAGAUUAGAAGAGAAAACCAUUCUUGUUCAUUGUUGCUGGGACUAAAAAAUGAUUCUGCCUUCUUGUGAUGGUUUGUAUAUGCUUGACCCAGGCAGUGACACUAUUAGGAGGUGUGGCCCUCUUGGAGUGGGUGUGGCCUUGUUGGAGUGGGUGUGUCAUUGUAGGUGUGGGCUUUAAGAUGCUGAUCCUAGCUGCCUGGAAGCCAGUCUUCUAGCAUCCUUCAUAUAAAGAUAUAGAACUCUCAGCUCCUCCUGAACCUUGCCUGCCUGGACACUGCCAUGUUACCACCAUGAUGAUAAUGAACUGAACAUCUGCACCUGUAAGCCAGCCCCAAAUAAAUGUUGUCCUUUAUAAGA